CAUUGAAACACAUCUAUCUCUGUUCCGAGUUGGUUUUGUAUAUUUAUGUUCGGUAUUUUCCGAAUUUGUUGCUGUUGUUGUGUGGACAGACUUUUAACAAAAAUGCCAUCCUGAGUUAUUGGCUGGAUUCUUUCAUUGCUAUAACACACAAAGACAUUUUCAACGUAUUGUUGUAUGUGUGCAUUCAAGAGAAGCGGACCCAGGAACCAUGAAGUCCCCCAUUCGCUUGUAGUCACUGCUGUCCUCAAGUCCACAAAAACACUCCGUAUGUCUCUUCUGAACUACAUUUUUUACCCUGUUUGUAAAUGUCACUGAGUCAAAGAAAGGUGUAAAUUAGCAAUCAGCGUAAUCUGACUGCUCCUUAUACCAGACGUGUACUGAACAUGGAUGACAGAAAGCAUGGCGCCUUCUUUUUGAGUAGUUUUGUACAGCCAUGUUAAAUAUGAGCAUGUUCAAGUUUUUGCAGAAUGAAUCUCCAGGACUAGACAGCCUACACCUGUAAAGUUUACUAUCUCUUUUAGUCCUUCAGUUCAUUAAAAUGCAUUUUCAAUACAAACAUACAGUAGACUAUUCCACUGUAUUUCAUUUUAUCUUGCAUCUUCUCCCAUGAAAACUAUUCUACCCUGGCUCUGUCUUACUAUUGCUUUUGGGUGCUGUGUGAACAAUAAAUAAACACUCUAUGCCCUUAUAGAUAAAUACCUAAUUAUUCAUUUAAAUUAUGAUAAACAAAUGAAUACCCUUUAUCCGCUAGCAUCAUCAGCGUUAACACAGCAGCAGUCAUCAUCGCAAGUUGACAGUAGUUAAACCUAAACUUGUAAUCUGUAUAUAAUGAGAACAACCACUGUUUGUCUCACUGGUUAAAUGAUCAAAGGUUGGAGGUCUGUCUUGGUUGCUGUGGUAGCCAUGUGUCAAUCACACCCUAGAAUUUGAACAUUUAAUCCUAAACCAAACCAGUGUCAGAAAAAAUGAUUUCAUGCUGCAUUAAAGAAGAUUUGAAACUAGCCAAGACCUUUACCUCAACGUAUGAAAUAUUAAGAGUACUAAAAAACAAUGAUGACUUAGGAGAGGUUUUACAUCUGGUCCCAAACAAAUACUUUUCUUUUUGGAUCCAUGAAAGCCACACCCAAUACCCUAUUGGAAAUUUAAUGUAAAGCUGUAUUACCAUCACAUCUAAGACGAGAAAAAGAGCAGUAGAAAGAUCCAAACACAGGUGGUGUCAAAUAGUCUGUCUAAAUGAAAGAAGAAACUUUAAAAUAAAGAUGCUUUCAUGCAUGUCCCCAGGAAAGAAAUUUACACAAGAUAGAUUCAGCACAAGGCUGUGGAGGACUGUGCUGUUCCCGCAUAGCAAAAAGGUUCCUGUUUGCACCUUGGGCCUUUUUUGUGUGUUGAGAUUGCACAUUCUCCCUGGGCAUCCAUUGGUUUCAGAAGGAAACUCUGACUGACCCCCCAGAGUCCAAUAAGAUUCUUGUUGGUUCAAGGGCUACACAGCAACUGGCUGUAUUGUGAUUGUCUAAUUGUUUGUGUAUAUUAUCCCUGUUCUUGGCUGGUGACCUGUUCAGGGUGUCCCCUACCCCUCCCCUAGUGAGAUAUGGAAUGGGCUCCAGCCCCCCAACCCCCAAAAUAAGAUAAUCAAUAUACUGUAGAUAAUGAAUGACCAAGGUUGGCACAACACCCAGAUUGCAUUACAGGAAUAUGCACAAAACAUGUUCACAAAGUCGUCCUCCGUUGUACCAUUUUAAGUGUAUUUGCGUUGUAAAUUGUUACAGACCUGAAUGCUUGACCCUACAGAAAUGCUGUAGGGGGUGUUUUUCCCAGCAUGGUUUGGUUUCAUAUGUUUCCUCAGAGGGAGAGGUUGUUGUAAAUCAAUACAAAUGUAUUCUGGGUUAUUAUUUAAAUUCUGUGGGGAGACACUUAUAUCCUGAUGAGAGCGCUCUUUACCAGAGUGAUAGUGACCUCAGUCUGAGGGCAAAGAGGGUCACUGAAUGAUUUGAUGAGUAUGAAUACAUUGUGAAUAUUAUGCUCGGCUAUGCAUUUAUCAGACUAUAAUCUGUUAACAGCUAAAGACAUUUUUAAAUUAAAUCCAACACACAGGGGGGAAUCUUUAUAGAAAAAUGUUACUCCAUUAUUGCUCAAGGAGGAAAAUGUCCUGGCAGCACAUGAUGCCAGAUUAUGAGUUUUCCCCUUCCCUUCUUUUUUGUUUAUAUGCUUUUGUACUGAGAUUUUGACCAUCUCAAACCGAGUCACUUGACAAGCUUUCAGUCGGAGGCUUUAAAAACAAACAAUAAGUUCUUUCCACACUGACGUUUGAAUAAAAUACUCACUGAUCCAACCAAAAAAUUAAAAUCUCUAUACACCCCGGAUCAUGGAGAAGUAUUCUAAAACGGGUCCUAAAAUUCUAAAUUUAAAUAGCUUUUUUCUUUUUUUGUAACUAUUCUCUUUAUCUUUGUUUCAACAUAUGAAAAGACCUUUCUUAGUCUAAUCUUCAGGGAGGAUUCUGGCUUGGACAGAAUCCAGGUUUAUUCAAGCUUUAUACGUCUGAGUACCAGAAGGAUGCUUAGUCCUAUUCUUAAUCUGUCGGUCUAUUCCUUCUUCAGCUUAAACCCUUCACGUCUCUUUGGUUUGUUCUUGUCUCCAACCCUGUAGAGAGUUGUGUUUUGCUGACUGUACUUGUCAAACUCAAGCAAAGUAAGAAUCAACUACAAGAUCCUCUCUUGUGUCUAAAUUUAUGAGCUAUCCAUGAGUCAACCAGACAAGUCAAGAAGAUACUUCUCUACUCCCAGGCUGUAUAACAUUGAAUUCCUACAUGGAGAAAUGUAACAUGGUGGCAGGGGAAUACUGUGACAUAAAGUAAAAAGUGAAGUACACAUUAUGGAGCAAUAGAAUACUUCAGCCAUACAUUAUUAAUGUGAGUGUAAGAGUGUGUAAUCUAUUACUGUACGAGUCUUCUCCCCUGGGGCUGUAGCUAGAUCUAUGACAGCAUAUGUUUAACUCUCCAGUGAGUUAUUUCCAUUAUGACUGACCCAAAGAAACACACAUACACUUAAAUGUACAUACCUUCAAAGUUAGGCAUCUUUUCAUCUCUCUACAUCGUCUCAUUUUUCUUCCCUGACUCGAACACGACUGUCCUCAUUUCAAGCUUUUUACGGAUCAAUGACUAUCCAUUUCGGCAUCUGUUUCCCAAAAUGCAUCUUGGUGACCACUCCUACAAGAAGGCUCUAAUAGCCAUUUACUGUUGUCCCUUCUCAAGGACACUUUUCUUUGUUUCAUCAUGAUUCACACUCCGUAAUCAGUCCUAAAUAAACCAUUAAUCCUCCCAGGACUUUCUCCAGUGAAUGAAAUCAACCAAUCAACUAUAUGACAGUAAUUGAGUCAAGCAUGUGUGUGUAAUAGUGAAAAAUGAUCGUGUCUGUGUCCUAUUUUGCCAUUUUUACCUUCCUCCACAUUGUAUUGUUGAAUAUAAUUAGCUAAAAUUAACCCACAAUGCAGCUCAGGCAGCAUGAAUGAUAUGUCUGCGCUCCCUUGAGUGUGUGGGAGUUUGUUUGUAGGUGAUGCAUGAGAGAAUAUCAAUAAACCUGUCAUGCCAAGCUAUCUCCUCCUAUGCUUCUUUCAUGCAAACAGCACAUAUCUCCCUGUCAGUGGACUAUAAAGUGACAUUUUGCUAUUUUCUGAUGCUUUUAAUUCUUUGUACAGGCUUCUUCGUCUUCUGCAUCCCUGCAGCUUCACGUGUUCUCUUCAUGUACAUUUAUCAUCCCACUGUGGACAUGUGCUGUGACAGAUAGGAUGGAUAGUCCAGCGGUCCUCCCCUUCCAUCUCGUGUCAUAUGCAAUGAAUAAACAGAUGAAAAGGAG
rnacentral:lncRNA from 1 species